AGUGAACGCUGGCGGUAGGCCUAACACAUGCAAGUCGAACGGCAGCACAGUAAGAGCUUGCUCUUACGGGUGGCGAGUGGCGGACGGGUGAGGAAUACAUCGGAAUCUACUUUUUCGUGGGGGAUAACGUAGGGAAACUUACGCUAAUACCGCAUACGACCUACGGGUGAAAGCAGGGGAUCUUCGGACCUUGCGCGAUUGAAUGAGCCGAUGUCGGAUUAGCUAGUUGGCGGGGUAAAGGCCCACCAAGUCGACGAUCCGUAGCUGGUCUGAGAGGAUGAUCAGCCACACUGGAGCUGAGACACGGUCCAGACUCCUACGGGAGGCAGCAGUGGGGAAUAUUGGACAAUGGGCGCAAGCCUGAUCCAGCCAUACCGCGUGUGUGAAGAAGGCCUUCGGGUUGUAAAGCCGUUUUGUUGGGAAAGAAAAGCAGCAGGUUGAUACCCCGCUGUUCUGACGGUACCCAAAGAAUAAGCACCGGCUAACUACGUG
rnacentral:rRNA from 1 species